AGGACGAACGCUGGCGGCGCGCCUAACACAUGCAAGUCGAGCGAUAACCAGGGCUUGCCCUGGGGACAGCGGCGAACGGGUGCGUAACACGUGAGCAACCUGCCCCAAAGACCGGGACAACCCGAGGAAACUCGGACUAAUACCGGAUGCCCUCACCGGGCCGCAUGGUCUGGUGAGGAAAUGGAUUCCGCUUUGGGAUGGGCUCGCGGUCUAUCAGCUUGUUGGUGGGGUAACGCCUACCAAGGCGACGACGGAUAGCUGGUCUGAGAGGACGAUCAGCCACACUGGGACUGAGACACGGCCCAGACUCCUACGGGAGGCAGCAGUGGGGAAUCUUGCGCAAUGGGGGAAACCCUGACGCAGCGACGCCGCGUGCGGGAUGAGGCCUUCGGUGUAACCGCUUUCAGCAGGGACGAAUUGACGGUACCUGCAGAAGAGGCCCGGCACUACGUGCCAGCAGCCGC
rnacentral:rRNA from 1 species